UGGCGGGAGGGUGAGUAAUGUCUGGGAAACUGCCCGAUGGAGGGGGAUAACUACUGGAAACGGUAGCUAAUACCGCAUAACGUCGCAAGACCAAAGAGGGGGACCUUCGGGCCUCUUGCCAUCGGAUGUGCCCAGAUGGGAUUAGCUAGUAGGUGGGGUAACGGCUCACCUAGGCGACGAUCCCUAGCUGGUCUGAGAGGAUGACCAGCCACACUGGAACUGAGACACGGUCCAG
rnacentral:rRNA from 1 species